AAACUGUAAUUUUUGUGAAGAAUCAACAACAAGUGGGACACAAUCAUGAAGUGGAACUAAAUUUAUUGGAUAUUUCAAACUUUUUUAACAAAAAAAAAAACUGAAAAAUUGGGCGUGCAAAAUUAUUCAGCCCCCUUAAGUUAAUACUUUGUAGCGCCACCUUUUGCUGCGAUUACAGCUGUAAGUCGCUUGGGGUAUGUCUCUAUCAGUUUUGCACAUCGAGAGACUGAAAUUUUUGCCCAUUCCUCCUUGCAAAACAGCUCGAGCUCAGUGAGGUUGGAUGGAGAGCAUUUGUGAACAGCAGUUUUCAGUUCUUUCCACAGAUUCUCGAUUGGAUUCAGGUCUGGACUUUGACUUGGCCAUUCUAACACCUGGAUAUGUUUAUUUGUGAACCAUUCCAUUGUAGAUUUUGCUUUGUUUUGGAUCAUUGUCUUCUUGGAAGACAUAUCUCCGUCCCAGUCUCAGGUCUUUUGCAGACUCCAUCAGGUUUUCUUCCAGAAUGGUCCUGUAUUUGGCUCCAUCCAUUUUAACCAUCUUCCCUGUCCCUGCUGAAGAAAAGCAGGCCCAAACCAUGAUGCUGCCACCACCAUGUUUGACAGUGGGGAUGGUGUGUUCAGGGUGAUGAGCUGUGUUGCUUUUACGGCAAACAUAACGUUUUGCAUUGUUGCCAAAAAUUCAAUUUUGGUUUCAUCUGACCAGAGCACCUUCUUCCACAUGUUUGGUGUGUCUCCCAGGUACUGUGGCAAACUUUAAACGACACUUUUUAUGGAUAUCUUUAAGAAAUGGCUUUCUUCUUGCCACUCUUCCAUAAAGGCCAGAUUUGUGCAGUAUACGACUGAUUGUUGUCCCAUGGACAGAGUCUCCCACCUCAGCUGUAGAUCUCUGCAGUUCAUCCAGAGUGAUCAUGGGCCUCUUGGCUGCAUCUCUGAUCAGGACGGCCAGGUCUUGGUAGAUUUGCAGUGGUCUGAUACUCCUUCCAUUUCAAUAUUAUCGCUUGCACAGUGCUCCUUGGGAUGUUUAAAGCUUGGAAAAUCUUUUUGUAUCCAAAUCCGGCUUUAAACUUCUCCACAACAGUAUCUCGGACCUGCCUGGUGUGUUCCUUGUUCUUCAUGAUGCUCUCUGCGCUUUAAACGGACCUCUGAGACUAUCACAGUGCAGGUGCAUUUAUACGGAGACUUGAUUACACACAGGUGGAUUCUAUUUAUCAUCAUUAGUCAUUUAGGUCAACAUUGGAUCAUUCAGAGAUCCUCACUGAACUUCUGGAGAGAGUUUGCUGCACUGAAAGUAAAGGGGCUAAAUAAUUUUGCACGCCCAAUUUUUCAGUCUUUUAUUUGUUAAAAAAGUUUGAAAUAUCCAGUAAAUUUCGUUCCACUUCAUGAUUGUGUCCCACUUGUUGUUGAUUAUUCACAAAAAAUUACAGUUUCAUAUCUUUAUGUUUGAAGCCUGAAAUGUGGCAAAAGUUCGCAAAGUUCCAGGGGGCCGAAUACUUUCGCAAGGCACUGUAUAUGUGUGUGUGUAUAUAUAUACUAAACAAAAUGGUCAGCAGAGAAACUAUGUUUUGUGGCCAGAAAUAGCAAACUUACACUAAUUGUAUGUUUAAAUGGGUCAUAUGAUGCGAUUUCCGCGCUGUUCUCAAGCCACCCACCUCCGCUCACUCAAGCCGGCCGCGGUGUGUCUGGCCGGACAACGUAUCUCAAUAUGUUAAAGGUCAUAACAUUUCCGUCACUUGCUUGAGGCACUCGGCCAAUCAUAACGCACUGGAUAGCUGGCCAAUUACAGCACACCUCCCAUUUCAGAAGGCGGGGCAGAGAGGAGAAACAAUAAUGUACAGUAUGUGGAAAAUAAUGUUUUUUUUUUUUUUUACCUUAAACCGCAUUUCAUUACACCAAAUACACAAAAUAAUAUUAUUUUUAGCAGCAUCAUAUGACCCUUUUAACUAAAUAUUGAAAUUUUACACCAACAACCAGAAACCAACAGUAGAAAAAAAAAGAAAAAAAAGAAAAGACGAAGAAGAAACACAGACUGAGUGAGAUAAGAAAUCAACCAAGAUUGGAAACAUGCACAGCACUGUAGAAAUCUCCUGACUACAUCUAAGAGAGACAUGGUGCUGUUUUUUCACUCGAUCAUUAAAUAUAAACUGACAUGUAAUACAGACCAUAAUGCAUGAAUGCAUAAAUGUUUUCAGCCUGAUGAAGUUGGUGAUCAUUUAGCUGUCUUUAUGAGGGUGUGUGGAGGACAUAAGUGCUGGCUCGGGGUCUGAAUCCUCCUCACCUGCUGUGAAGGAGAUCCACAUGAUAGAAGAACCGACUGCCCAUUAAGGCCUGUAUGAGAGAAUGUGCACAGGGCCUCAUCAGGAAAGAGUAGAAUCUGAGCAAAAUUCAAUCUCUCACAUGUAUGUUCCUCAAGUGAGUGAUUCCCCUGUGUGAGGGGGACGAUUUUUCCUGCUGCUAGAUGAAUUAUUUUGGUCCAUUCUUCUGUCACACGAUGGUUGUACACAAGGAGAGGGUUGAGACAUGGAUCUAGUUGCUUGAGGUAUUUUUAUUAAACCAAAAACAGGCACUGAGAGACAGGGGAAAUCCAAGAAGCAAAUAAAACCAACCUUACAAAGACAAAAACUGACAAAGAACUGAGCUUCUUGAACGUUUCUUGACAUAAGAGCAUCCAGUCAAGUAACUUAAAAGGUUAGUUUAAUCAAAUUUGAAAAUUCUGUCAUUCUCAUGUCGUAAGACCUACAUUCAUCUUCAGGACACAAACUUAGAUAUGUUUGAUGAAAUUUGAGAGCUUUCUGACUCUCCAUAGAAGGCAACACAUCUGAAAGUUCUAGACCUAGAAAGGUAGUAAGGACAUCAAUAAAAUAGACCAUGUGACAUCAAUGGUUCAUCCUUAAUUUUAUGAAGCUACGAGAGUACUUUUUUUGUGCACAAAGAAAAGAAAAACAACCACUUUAUUCAACAAUUUCCUGAAGAAAUUUCAUCAAAUUUCAUGGAUUUCAUCAAAAAUAUAUUAAUUUGUGUUCCGAAGAUGAGCAAAGGUCUUAUGGGUUUGGAACGACAUGUGGGUGAGUAAUUAAUGACAGAAUUUUCAUUUUUGGGUGAAUCAACCCUUUAAUGAAUAACAUGCUUGAUGUUUCAUCAGUAAUUCCCUUUUACUCGCAAUAAAACUACAAUUAGUAUGAGUAAAUUCAUUGAGGUGCAACAUGUAGUAAAAUUUUAAACGUUAUGCUAAAGUAAAAAUUAUUCAUGAUUCUUACUGAAAGCAGUCAGAUCUCAGAUAUGAGAGCAGAGAUCAAACCACCAGAUAAACCAGAAACCAGCGGAAGAAAGAGCAAGAGACACAGACACAACGAGAAGAAAUCAACCAAGAUGGGAAACAUUCUUAUGUCAUGAGCACAGCACUGUAGAAAUCACCUGAAUAUAUUUAAGUAAGACACAGUUGUUGCUUUUUCACUUUGUCAUUAAAUAUGAACUGAUUUGAAAUACAGGUUAGAAUGCAUGAAUGUUUUCAGCCAAUUAAUUCUGAGAAAGUAGCACAAUUAUUCACCACAGAUACUAUUUAUUUAUUUAUUUAUUAGACACAUAUUUUCAUCUGAAUAUUGCAUAAAAAUAUCAUUGAGAGACUAUGUGUCAUAAGACGUUUCCCAGAGGAUUUUCCGAAAUUUGACCCAAUCAUUGACUGAAUUCUGGAAACUGACCCGCUGGAGAUAUGGGACAUCUUCACCAUCAUUAGUGUGUGUGCAGAAUAAAUGGCUGCCUACUGCUCCGGGUGUGUGUUCACGGUGUGUGUGUGUUCACUGCUGUGUGUGUGCACUUAGGAUGGGUUAAAUGCAGAGCAUGAAUUCUGAGUAUGGGUCACCAUACUUGGCUGAAUGUCACCUCACUUUCACUUUCACUUUUACUAUUGUGCGUCAGCCCUGACCCGAUUCUGAAGCAGUGGCGGCAACAAUUAAAGGUGCACUAAGCGAUUUUUGCCAAACAAUGUUGAUAGCGCCAACGCUAACAGCCUAUACCCCAACAGGAUGUGCUACAGUGGCCGAAAGAGCCCAGCGUGCUGCAAAUGAAAAAAAGCACCGGCAAAUUAAGAAAACAUCUUCAUCAAUUUUACAACUUGCCUUACAAAAACUAACCAUAGGCUAUGGUUUUACUAUACCUUCAAUACCAUGACUUAGGUGCCCUUGAGCAAGGCAUCGAACCCCCAACUGCUCCCCGGGCGCCGCAGCAUAAAAUGGCUGCCCACUGCUCCGGGUGUGUGUUCACAGUGUGUGUGUGUGUUCACUGCUCUGUGUGUGUGCACUUCGGAUGGGUUAAAUGCAGAGCACGAAUUCUGAGUAUGGGUCACCAUACUUGGCUGAAUGUCACGUCACUUUCACUUUCACUUUCACUAUUGAAAUGAAUUAAUUAAUAAAUACAUUUAUGAUAUAAAAUAAAAGAAAACCAAAAAAUGGUUAUGCACAAAUUAACCAUGGAUUAACUAUUCUAACCAUAGUUUAACCAUUGUAUUUGUAUAACUGUGGUUAUACAAAUGGUAAUCAGUACACCAAAAAAAAAAAAAAAGAAAACCUGGUUAAUUUUCGUUUUGUUGGGGUAAUUUUGUUUGUCUUGUGAGUAUUUACAGUGAGUUUCUGUUUUUUACAGCGUGUUUCUGUAUUUGUUUGUGUUGUGAGUAUGCGUUUCUUUAUUUGCUUGUGUUGUGAGCAUUUGCAUCUUGUUUUUGUAUUUGGUUGUGUUGCAAGUAUUUGCAGCAUGUGUGCUGUCAAACUGAUGACGGAGUUUUCUUAAUUUUCUGGUGCUUUUUCUAUUUGCAUGUGUUUUGUGAAGUUGCAGCAUGUUGAGCUCUCUCGGCCACCGUACCUCGCCCCUAUUUUGAAAUCUCUGCCCGACACAUACGUACGUAACCAUGGCAACGACGAUCGCGGAAACAAGUGAGAUUACACACAAGCAUAUUCAAACAAAACCAAACAUGUAUAAGUUGUGUGAAACAAAGCAAAAUCAACGUUAUUCACCUAUCAAAAAGAAACAACACAACCUCGGCGUCCGAUUCGAGCCCUUCCC
ensembl:lncRNA